UAUCUACUCCCUCCGUCCGGAAAUACUUGUCAUCAAAAUGGAUAAAAGGAGAUGUAUCUAGACGUAUUUUAGUUAUAGAUACGUCCCUUUUUAUCUCUUUCGGUGACAAGUAUUUUGGGACGGAGGGAGUAACAU
rfam:Triticum aestivum genome assembly, contig: Triticum_aestivum_CS42_TGACv1_scaffold_321018_4BL